AAACAUGCUUCUGAGGAGACAUAACACCUCAAAAGAAUGUUUACCAAAUAAUGUUCUGCAAAAUACAACUGCUCCACAGAUGUUAACAGCUGCUCCUGGGGUUGGGGGACAGGAAACCCUGGAUUAAACAAAGCAAAACUGACUUCUUCAUUGCAGGACCUCUCAGGGCCUUUCAUCUCCUGGGUCACAAAUGAUUUCCCAAGAAUGAGGAAGCAAAAUUUGAGGAUGUAAAAUGUAUUUGAGCACACAAUCACCCCACUGGAGUAAAACAUCAAGUCUCACCUCCAAGAACCUCUGACACUGAGUUUGAGAAACUCUGGACAGACUGCUCCCCAGUCCUGUUUGGACUAUGGAAUUCUCUCAUCGCAAACGCCCAUUAACAUCUUUAAGAAUGUGUUCCAUGGAACCCAGUUCGGGAAAACACUCCUAUGGGUGCUCUGAACAAUAAGCAGCAGAGGUACGAAAGACAACAAGGCCUUUCAAGUGCACCCCUGGCUUGUACAGACUCUAAGACUAAGUUCUCUGCCAGCUCCAUUUUUCCUUAAUUCUGAAACUCUCUGGAAUAGGUUUUCACUAUCCUCAUAAACAACCAUCAAAUUCGUGGACUUUAUGAUCCUAGGGCAACUGAGCAAGACCACCUCAGGCAGGCUGGAUGGGCUCCGGGCAGAACAUCUGGCCCUGGCACUACCACUUCCCUACGUCACAUCCAGUCCACAGAAGGUGGUGACACCAGGGCAGUGUGGCCUGCAGCACAAUAGGCAACUCCCUUGGCAGAUGCUGCCCUGGACACACCUCGCAGAUGGAUGCACUGAUGGCCAAGAGACUAGAACCACCAGAGGUUCUUCGUGCAAGGGGAGCAUUCACUCACCUACAGCCAAUCAUCACAAGGGAGCGGACUGGCAGCUCAGAGCAGAGAGAAGCUAAGCACACCCUGCCACCCUGGAAGGAGUCACCAAGCCGACUGGGGGAGCUGGAUGCUUUUCCCUCUUGCCUUUUUGGUCUCUUAUGAUCUCCUCCAGUUUUGUUCUGUGGCCUUCUAAAAUAGCCAUUAAUUAGAGCCUGGUAAUUAACUUACUGGUUCAAGUAAUAUUUUGCAAAGGAAUUCCAUUAAAGAGUCGAUUUGCAUAUUCUAAUAUGGGGCCUGGAAAUAGGCAGGGCUACCUGGAGGAGAAUGAAAGCAGUCCCAUGGCACCUGUCAGGCCUGGCACCUGGGCCUGGGCUCUGCCUGGUAACCGAAGGUGAGAGGGGAGGCAAAGAGUUGCUCUCUGGGAAGUUCUCCCCAAGAAGGUGGGGAGCUUAUUCACACACCGGCCAGCUCAGUGUCCAUGCACCCAGACAGAAAGUGCACACAUGCACACAAGUAUGCACGUGAGUGCUCACAGAACACACUAUACACAUGGGCACAACAGGGUAUACGUACACAGACAUGUACAAACAACUGGCAGAUGCAUACCCAAGAAGAAAACACACGAUAAUAACAAUAGUAGCCAACACUUAACCUGAACACAUAGAUUGAAUCAUAUGCAAUUGCCUGUAUUUGGCCUCCCAAAACAGCAACUUUAUACAGUCUCACCCCAUAUGAUGUACCAGGCACUGUUCCAAAUACUUCACCUGUAUUAACUCAAUUAAAUGCACAGACAUGUAUAAGGACAUUAACAUAUAAUGUACACACAUCUUCAUGAGGACAGGUGCACACUUGCAACACAUACAAAAGACGUACACAGACAAACAUAUGCUUGUGCAAAGAAAGGCUUCUCCAGCCUUUGAAACCCCAGCCUUGCUGAUCCCAUUCUCACUAGCUAAUUUCCACCGUUCCUAAAAACAUUGCCCAGCUCAGAUCUUGGGAAGGUACACAAGGGAGCUCCAGAUCUAAAGGAGAGUAAUAAAAAUGAGAAAGCAAAAAAUAAAUUGAUUCUUCUAUACGUCCAGGUCGUAUUCUGUGGCUCUCCCCUUCCUCUCUAGAGAUGAGACUCAGAAUCAUGUGCUCCUGGGCCGGUCAGCCCUGCCCCCAAAGGUGCCCAUGGGGCUCAAGUACAAUGCUGCAGUUGAGAGGGGAUCUGGUUCCAAUGCCUGGCUUCUGCAUAGGCCCCAGCUCCAUGCCUUUGACUGUGUGCCUCAGUUUUCCUGGCCAUAGAGCAGCCCUUUCACUGCCUACCUACCCUACAGGGCAGAAGACCUCUUAAAGUGCUGUGUAAAUACAGGGCAUCCUUAUGAAUGAUAGGAUUAGGAAUUAAACCUGAUUUCCUUAUGGAGAGGAGAGGACGGGAGGAAGGUGGAAAGAAGAAGGGAGGGGGAGGAGGAGAGGACAGCCAGGUGAGCCUUCCUUACAGGUAAUUAAUGAAUUCCUUGUCAUACCUCUUGGAAGGCAGAGGCUCAUUUAACGUGUAGGAUCCACCUACAUGGGACCUCUCAGAGCUGAGGAAGACCAAACAGGGCAACCAAGAAUCCUGCAAGAGGCUUGUCAGAACACUCAGGCAAAGGACAGGAAUAGACAAGUCUCAAAAGAAGCACUGCCACUGGCCAUGAAACUCAGGAAAGCACUAUUCGAUCACCAACAAGCAAAUGAAUGCAAAUAACAAAAAAAUGCCCUUUUUCUGCCUAUCCAAACGAUAAAGACUGCUUUAAUGAUGACAUCCAAUGUUUUGAAGGGUGUGAGGAAACAGGUAAGCACUCUCAAAAAUCACUGGGGAGGGGUAUGAAUUAUUACAGGAUUUUGGUGGGUGACAUUUUUCUAAGAAAAAUCUCAAACUCUUCAUAUUUUUAGACCUAGUAAUUCUGUUUCUAAGACUUUAUCCUUUGGGAAAAAUCAGAAAUGUAGGCAAAGAUAAAUAUUCAAGGAUUUAAAUCCCAGUGUCAUUUUUAAUAAAGAAAACCUAGACAUAACCUAAAUGCCUAAAUGAUUAAAAACAAGUAUGACCCAAACGGAAGAUGGAACAAUGAACUUUUAAAACUGAUUAUUAAAACACACAUGAGAGCUUUGCUUUCCCAGGUGUAAGCAGGAAUCCCUAGGAAAACAUCCUGUGCUCUAGGUAAUAAUGGCUGUUUCUUAAGUUUAAGGCAAUAAUGACCCAUCUUAAGCUCGAAUCACCUUACCAGGCACAGCAACAUCUAUUAUCUCUUGAACCUCAGGAUGAGGCCACAUGAUUGCUUAUUAUUCCCACACUGUGGAUGAGAAAACUGAGGCUUACCAAGACGAGGUGACUUAACCCUACCAAUAUUAACUGAAAACCUAUGACAUAUUAAUCUAA
rnacentral:lncRNA from 1 species